AGAGUUAGAUUUUAUUAGUGAGUGGUUAAGAACAACCAUUAUUUUGUCAAAUUACUAUUUUGCCCUUUCAAAUAUACUAUUAUAUCGUCACUAUUUUUUUUUAUUUAUUCUUUAAGUUAAGAGCAAAAAAGAUAUUUUAACUGUUGGUCCUUUUCGGAUAGGGGCAAAAAAGAUAUUUUGAUUUUUUUUUAACUUUGGUAGGAAUUUAACU
rnacentral:lncRNA from 1 species